rnacentral:rRNA from 1 species
AAUAGAUACCCUGGUAGUCCACGCCGUAAACGAUGAGUGCUAAGUGUUAGGGGGUUUCCGCCCCUUAGUGCUGCAGCUAACGCAUUAAGCACUCCGCCUGGGGAGUACGGUCGCAAGACUGAAACUCAAAGGAAUUGACGGGGGCCCGCACAAGCGGUGGAGCAUGUGGUUUAAUUCGAAGCAACGCGAAGAACCUUACCAGGUCUUGACAUCCCAUUGACCACUAUGGAGACAUAGUUUUCCCUUCGGGGACAACGGUGACAGGUGGUGCAUGGUUGUCGUCAGCUCGUGUCGUGAGAUGUUGGGUUAAGUCCCGCAACGAGCGCAACCCUUGUUCUUAGUUGCCAUCAUUUAGUUGGGCACUCUAAGGAGACUGCCGGUGACAAACCGGAGGAAGGUGGGGAUGACGUCAAGUCAUCAUGCCCCUUAUGACCUGGGCUACACACGUGCUACAAUGGACGGUACAAACGGUUGCCAACCCGCGAGGGGGAGCUAAUCCGAUAAAACCGUUCUCAGUUCGGAUUGUAGGCUGCAACUCGCCUACAUGGAACG